rnacentral:lncRNA from 1 species
UUUCCCCAAAUCAAUUUCUAAGGAAAAUCGAAUGCAUGCCGCAAGCGAUAAAACUUUUAUCUCAUAAAAUAUCGAGCCUCUCAGACUCUAUAAUAUAUGUAUGUAUUUACACACGUCCAUACUCCUUAUAUAAAUUCAUGGGUCUAUAUAGGGCUACUACGCUCGCGUCCAACGCUCACGUCACGCCUUAAUGCGGUGCUACACUACGUCAUUAAGGUGGACAGACGGGUGUAUAAAUAUGUGUCCAUACCCCCUAUGUGAAUUAAACACUCAUAUAGGGCUACUACGCUCACGUCACACCAUAAUGCGGCUAUAUGCUACGCUAUUAAGGUGGACAGACACAUAUCACUACCAGGACAAGCACUUUAGCCGACGAAAAAGUUUCGUCAGCCUGUUAACUUAAUUCGUCGGCUAAGAUUUCGUCAGGAAAAGGUCGUCGACGAUGACUUUAGCCGACGAAACAAUUAAGAUAUUCGUCGGCUAAAGUGUGUAAUAAAUAAUUAAAAAAUAACUAUAGCCGACGAACAUUAGUAUAUUUCGUCGGCUAAACCUUAUAAAAAAUUUAAAAAAUAACUAUAGCCGACGAAAUAUAGUAUAUUUCGUCGGCUAAACCUUUAUAAAAAAAUUAAAAAAUAACUAUAGCCGACGAAUUAUGGCAUAAUUCGUCGGCUAAACCUUAUAAAAAAAUUAAAAAAUACUAUAGCCGACGAAUAUAGUAUUUAAAUAUCGUCAGCAAAAGUUGCUGGGUUUUGAAAAAAAAAACUGCAGAAACUUUCGGCCACCUCCAAUCACGACCAAAAUUUGACAGAAUCUUCCUCUUAACAUUUCGAACAACUUUCUAGAAGAAGUCGAAGCUCAAUUCUAAGCCUAAACAGGUCAAUCGACUCAAAAUAUAAAAAUCUCAAAUUUUAAACCCUAAAAACUUCAAAUCUUCGAUUCUCUUCACACACACCGAAUCGAGCUACCAAAUUCUAGGGGAAUGUAGUACUAAUCAAACUCAACUUAUCCAUAUAUAGAACUCAACAAAUGGUGACCUAAGGAAGGAGAAAUUCGAUCGAUACCGAAUCCAAACCGGCGGAGUUUUAGAGCUCGAU